rfam:Stegodyphus mimosarum contig54579, whole genome shotgun sequence.
GCCUUCGUGGUGUAGUGGCCAGCACACUGAGCCGGUAUUUCAGAGGUCCGUGGUUCGAUUCCCGGCGAAGGCC